AUGGAAGUCCAAGGAAUAAACCGCAGUACUACUAGGAUGCACAGGCCAUAUGUCGGUGGGCUGGAUAUCCAGAUCUGUUUAUCACUUUCACAUGCAACCCAAAGUUGCCAGAAAUACAGACCAUGUUGGACUUCAUACCAGGACAAAAACCAGAAGAUCGUCCAGGCAUUGUUAAUAGAGUGUUCCUUAUAA
rnacentral:rRNA from 1 species